GUUAAAGAUCUUACUGGCUUUAUUUGAUGAUUCAUGAAUCAGGCAGCGUGUGAUCUAGCAUUCGGAAAGGAGCCCCAAGGAUAAGAUGCAUAAACGGACAAUGUAUAAAAUGAACAACAUUUACAGGCAGGAGGAAGCAGGCACUAAUUAGGAUGUCCUACAAGGCAAAGAAGUGGGUUGAUUAUUGCAGGGUUCCCUCCCUUUAUCGGAUGGCAGGGGUUCCUAAGGCCUCUGUGCUGAUUGAGCAAUUAGUGAUUGGUUUAAGAUUCCAUUUCUGGGAGGCCUGUUUGGUGAUGUGGAGCUUGUUUAAGUGACUCGUUUGGGGCCUGCUGUCUUUUUUGUUUGUUUGUUUUUAGGGCUGAAGAUUAUAGGGAAGUUCCCAGGCUAGGGGUCUAAUUGAAGCUGCAGCUGCAGGCCUCCACCCCAGCCGCAGCAACGCCCGAUCCUUAACCCACUGAGCGAGGCCAGGGAUUCCACAGAUCCCACCGCGUCCUCUGGAUACUGGUGGUUCUUAUACUAGCUGGGUUUUUAGUGCUGAGCCGCAAGGGGAACUCCCUUAAUGGGAUGCUUUUCCAAGGCAGAAAAGGAGUGGGGCAAGGAAGUCAUAAACAAACGAAAGGAUUAUUUCAGGCAAAGUCACCUUUGCAGGAAGACAGGGGUCUACGUGGCAGAGAAGCUCGCGGUGCUGGCCAGGAAAUUCCGGACUGACUGCUUCAAAGUCGCAGUCAGUUCAAAGGGCUGAAACUGUGGUUGGGGUUUAGUCUUCAGUGUUGGUUUGUGACAUUGGGCUUCGCACAAUGACUCCAUUUGGGGCCUGGUGUGUCUUUACACAGGUGUUUCUGUGCUCCUGGAAGCAGUUUUGCUCGCUCUCCAGGCCUCGUAUACAGGACUCAACCUGGGACUCGCCCUUGUCCCUCUCUUGUGUGGAUCCUCUUCUGCGCAACCCCCCUCUUUUUUUUUUUUUAUUUGGUUGGGUUGAGCUACAUCCUCAUGGGGUGCACACAUGCAAGAAAAACCAACUUCAUCUCGCCGAUCCCGUACUUACUUCAGUCGGGAACAGCUUCGGGUGCUAACUGAUACCUUUGAAAAGACCAGGUACCCCAACUGGUUCAUCGUAAACACGCUUUCUUCAAAUAUUCAUCUUGAUGAGUCAGUUAUAAAGGUAUGUCCCCGCGUCUGUCACUAGAUAGUACACCCGACCCAGAGUUUCACAUACUUUUAGUCAUCGUAUAAUUCUGGUUGCUUGAAAAAUUGCUGCCAGGACAGAUGUCAAACAUAUUAUCUCUUUGUUCUAAACAACACUCCUUUUACUGAGAAACGCUAAGGCUCAGAGAGAGGAAUUGUCUUCCAAAAGUUAUAAACAUAGGAACUAGGAGUUGAAGCCAGGCUUUGCUGUCUUCAGACCCACAAUGCUAGGUGAGAUCCUUUGGUGAUGGAUUUCAGAUACUCCCACUUGGGGAGCUCCUGUUGUGGCUCAGUGGUAAUGCACCUGACUGGUAUCCAUGAGGACUCAGGUUCCAUCCCUGGCCUCCCUCAGUGGGUUAAGGUUCUGGUGUGGCGGAGAGCUGUGGGGCAGGUCGCAGAUAUGGCUUGGAUCCCAAGUUGUGGCUGUGGUGUGUCCUAAAAAGGGAAAAAAAAAGAAAGAAAGAAAAAAACCCAGAUAUUCCCAUUUGGGUCUUUUCCUGGUUAUUUCUAGGUU
rnacentral:lncRNA from 1 species